rnacentral:tRNA from 1 species
AUUUAAAUAGCUUAUAUAGAGUAUAAUAUUGAAGAUAUUAUGGAGAUAGUUUUAUCUUUAAAUA